rnacentral:lncRNA from 1 species
GUAAUUAUUUUUAGGGUUAUUAUGAAGAUGAAGAACCUGAGGACAUAAAUACCAAAAAUCUAAAAUCUUUUAUUUCAAGAAGAAAAUGGCAGCGUUCCUUGACAUGUCUCGGCUCGGUUCUGACUUUGAGACCAAUCCCAGAGUUGUUGGAGGCUCCUCUGCAUGACGUUUCGAUUACAGCUACAAGGGAAACCCAGGAGCUCAGCAGCACCUCCCUAAGUAGUGGAUCCUCCUCAGAGUUUGAUGAAGCAGAUGCUUGGGACUUCUUCCAACAGGUGAGCCAGGAGGAUGAAGAUGACCUGGAAGAAGAGGAAGAAUAUGACCCAUACACUCAUGUGUCAAAGACGCCCACAGUUUUAAAACGGGAUGAAGAAGAUGUGCUUAUUGCUGAGGACCGCAUUCACAGUGGCCCGCUGGUGAUUUCCACGUCCACACCAUCAACAGAGCCAGUCAGUUUGGAGAGGAGGGACAGUAGCCCCUAUCUUCACCUCUCUGAGAGAGAUGAAGGAUUGGAUCCCAUACCACGUCGUAUCCUCAUCAAGAGCACUUUUUAUUGCAGCUCCGAGCAGCUCUCACCCAUGUCUGCUCGUCACAUGACGCUUCGGGAUAAAAUCCAAGCUAAAAAGCAAGAGCGUGGCCGUAAACCCCUCCGUGCCAGCCUCUCCGGCAGGUUAAAUGAGCCCCUCAUAGAGUAUGUAGAAGAUUCCCCAGAUUUAGAAGCUAAUCGUAACCAAAGAAGAGGAUCAAUGCAUUCAUCUAUCCUGAAGUCAAGUUCAUUUGAUAGUGGAGUGAGCGCUGCCCAUCCAAGCAUACACACCCAGAGAAGAAGCAGGUCAUUAGAUGUAUACACACAAUGCUCUCCAACUUCAACUGAGCCAACAGUGCAAGGAGAGGAUGAGCAUGAUGUUGAAGAAAGCCAGAAACCAGAUGUCACUGAUGAAGAAGAGGAGAAAACUGAAGAAGUCCAAGUGAGAAGGAAACUUUGCCGUCGCUCUGCGUUUUUGUCAAAGGGAUUCACAAAGUUAUGAAAUUGUUUUCUGAUUUUUAACCAGAAAGUCCAGUCAAACCAUCCAGGCCAGAUGUCAUUCAGCUAGCAGGAGGAGGAGUGCUUGUGUUCUGGAAACCUGUGCCAUCAAAAGAACUUGUCACAUAUUGUAUUCAGUAUAGUGUAAAUGGUAAGAAUACAUACUGAGAAUAUACAUCCUGUAUUAUGAGCAUUGUUUUUCAUUGUGUUUUUCCAUGGUGCUUCAUAAAGAA